rnacentral:rRNA from 1 species
CGCUGGCGGCGUGCUUAACACAUGCAAGUCGAACGAAAGGACGGGAAGAGCUUGCUCUUUCCGGAAUUGAGUGGCAAACGGGUGAGUAACACGUAAACAACCUGCCUUCAGGAUGGGGACAACAGACGGAAACGACUGCUAAUACCGAAUAAGUUCCAAGAGCCGCAUGGCCCAUGGAAGAAAAGGUGGCCUCUACCUGUAAGCUAUCGCCUGAAGAGGGGUUUGCGUCUGAUUAGCUGGUUGGAGGGGUAACGGCCCACCAAGGCGACGAUCAGUAGCCGGUCUGAGAGGAUGAACGGCCACACUGGAACUGAGACACGGUCCAGACUCCUACGGGAGGCAGCAGUGGGGAAUCUUCCGCAAUGGGCGAAAGCCUGACGGAGCAACGCCGCGUGAGUGAUGACGGCCUUCGGGUUGUAAAACUCUGUGAUCCGGGACGAAAAGGCAGAGUGCGAAGAACAAACUGCAUUGACGGUACCGGAAAAGCAAGCCACGGCUAACUACGUG